AGCAGCCGCGGUAAUUCCAGCUCCAAUAGCGUAUAUUAAAGUUGUUGCAGUUAAAAGCUCGUAGUUGAAUUUCGGGGUCAGCAGGUCGGUCGUGCCACUGGUAUGUACUGGCUUUGCUGAUUCCUCCCUCUUGAUGAGCCGUAAUGCCAUUAAUUUGGUGUUGCGGGGAAUCAGGACUGUUACUUUGAAAAAUUAGAGUGUUUAAAGCAGGCAAGCGCUUGAAUACAUUAGCAUGGAGUAAUGAAAUAGGACGUUCGAUCCUAUUUUGUUGGUUUCUAGGAUUGACGUAAUGAUUAAUAGGGAUAGUUGGGGGCAUUAGUAUUCAAUUGUCAGAGGUGAAAUUCUUGGAUUUAUUGAAGACUAACUACUGCGAAAGCAUUUGCCAAGGAUGUUUUCAUUAAUCAAGAACGAAAGUUAGGGGAUCGAAGACGAUCAGAUACCGUCGUAGUC
rnacentral:rRNA from 1 species